CGGCGGGUCCCGCGCGGCGCCCAUCCUGUGAACUCCCCCAGGGCCGGAAGGCAGCAAGGGUCAACAGGCUCUGGCGGGUGCGCGGGGCCCGCUCUCG
rnacentral:SRP_RNA from 1 species